rnacentral:ncRNA from 3 species
CACGUAGGCUCCAAGCGUUGUCCGGAUUUAUUGGGCGUAAAGAGCUCGUAGGCGGUUGAGUAAGUCGGGUGUGAAAACUCUGGGCUUAACCCGGAGACGCCAUCCGAUACUGCUCUGACUAGAGUUCAGGAGGGGAGUGGGGAAUUCCUAGUGUAGCGGUGAAAUGCGCAGAUAUUAGGAGGAACACCGGUGGCGAAGGCGCCACUCUGGACUGAAACUGACGCUGAGGAGCGAAAGCAUGGGUAGCAAACAGG